ACAAUGUCAAAGCAUGAUCAAAAUGGCAAAGGCACAGCUUGCACCAUCAACCUUGGCUUUAGGCGAGGGAGAAACGGCAAAAAAUACUAAGGGGAUUAGAACAAGUUCUGGCAUGUUUAUAAGUGCAUCCGAAGACAAAACAGGUACCUUGGAUCUCAUUGAGGAGAAAAUUGCAAGGCUACCGUGAUUCCCAGGAGCCAUGGUGAGGAACAACCACAAGUGAAAGUACGUAGAAC